UGAGAAUUCGAUUGGCAGGGGACGGGGGAGAUUGGGCCACAAUUUUGUUUGAACUUUGAAUAAUGGAUGAAAAGAGGAUACAGCUUGCGAGUUAAAUGGAAAAUUCUCCAGCCCAAAGCCCAAACUCACUCUUCAUGGGGAGUAUAACGGUCUCUUCCACGGUUCAAUUACCAUUGCAGAAAUUUGAAUUUGCCUAGAACACAGAACCCAUCAUAAAGCAAACCAGAGUAAAAAUUGAGUGAUGAAAGAUAUGGAAAAGGCUGUGGAGAUAAAGGAUUCCACGUCUUCUUCCUCCUCUGUCGAGGAUCAAGAAACUCCUCUUCGACCCAUAUUUUGCCUUAAAAAGAAGGUAGACUUGAAGAUAUUUGAGGAGAUUUAUGAUUGCUUUAUUCUUGAUUUUGAUCCUGUAGAACCUAUUCGCUGUAUCUCCAGUCUUUCUGUUUCCUCCAAUGAUGACCUCUCUGUCAUUGCUGAAAAAGGACAGGUUGCUUGCAGAGAUUACCCACAUGCAAGACAUCUGUGUCUCAAAUACCCAUUUGACAGUACACCACAUGAGAAAUUCUGCCAUAUGUGCUACUGCUACGUUUGCGACUUGGUUGCUCCUUGCAAGUACUGGAAUGAUCCUACAUCAGCGCAUUGCCAUGCCUCAGAACACACUGAUGCUUGGAAGUUAAAAAGAAAUUUGAGGAAAAAUCAGCCUCCUCUUUACAGUUGAACAAUUUCUUACUUUCAUUGCCCUCCGGGUUUUGCUGAUUUCUAGUUCCUUGCAUUUUGCACCCACCCGUAUCUGAAACACACAUCUCCUGCUGUUUAAUAUUUUGCUAUCAGUUGGUCAAAUUCAUACUCUGAAUUUGAGAUUUUGGUACCAAAGAUAGGUUUCAAUAUGUUGAACAUCACCGGUUUAGGGAGGAUUAUUUGCUACUAUGUUCUAUGUAUACCUUUUCGGGUGAAUGAAUAUUUAUGAUUUGCUUCAGUAUGUUGAUUGACCAAUGAGAAAACAACCACAAAUACUUCAAAGCUAUUCGUG
rnacentral:misc_RNA from 1 species